rnacentral:rRNA from 1 species
UACCUGCAGCUCAAGUGGUGACCAUUAUUAUUGGGCCUAAAACGUUCGUAGCCGGUUUAUUAAAUGCCUGGGUAAAUCGUGCCGCUUAACGGUACGAAUUCCGGGUAGACUGAUAAACUUGAGACCGGGAGAGGCUAGAGGUACUCCUGGGGUAGAGGUGAAAUUCUGUAAUCCUAGGGGGACCACCAGUGGCGAAGGCGUCUAGCUAGAACGGGUCUGACGGUGAGGGACGAAGCCCUGGGGCGCAAACCGGAUUAGAUACCCGGGUAGUCCAGGGUGUAAACGCUGCUUGCUUGAUGCUAGUCGGGCUCCGAGCCCGAUUAGUGUCGGAGAGAAGUUGUUAAGCAAGCUGCCUGGGAAGUACGGUCGCAAGACUGAAACUUAAAGGAAUUGGCGGGGAGCACAGCAACGGGUGGAGCGUGCGGUUU